rnacentral:rRNA from 1 species
UACGGGGGGAGCAAGCGUUGUUCGGAUUUACUGGGCGUAAAGGGCGCGUAGGCGGCCUCCGCAAGUCAGUUGUGAAAUCUCCGAGCUUAACUCGGAAAGGUCAACUGAUACUGCGGGGCUAGAGUACGGAAGAGGCGAGUGGAAUUCCUGGUGUAGCGGUGGAAUGCGCAGAUAUCAGGAGGAACACCGAUGGCGAAGGCAGGUCUCUGGGCCGCAACUGACGCUGAGGAGCGAAAGCAUGGGGAGCGAACAGG